ensembl:ncRNA lncRNA:CR44655 long non-coding RNA:CR44655
UGGAAGAGAGAUCGCGAAUUUUUUGCGAAUAAAUGUUGCGCGCAACAUGUUGCCAAAAGCGAAAUGGCCACGCAACGAAGCAAACACACACACACACACACUAGAUGACAUGCAAAGGAAAAGAGAGUUGCUCUCUCGCGAAUGCGAAUUCUUCGUUUUUGCAAAUUCUCUUUUGUUGCGAAUUUUUUGUAGCUUCUUUUUCGCUCGCUUUUAUCAGCGCUCCCGCACACAAAUACACAUACACCUGCUUCGCCGCUCUCUCUUUCGCUCCCCUCUUCCUGCCCUUUCACUCAUCGAGAGAUCCGCUUUAUUUUAUUUCAACUUUUUGCUGCCCAGAAUUCGCACACAUGGAAGCUCGGCGCAAAAAAAAAUACAUAAAUUAAGUGAGCAAAAAAAUUAAGAGGAAGAAGCAGCACAAGAAGAUAACUCAGCAAGCAUUGGGUUUGCAAAAAAAAAAAAACAACAAAUAAAAAAAUAACAAAAACAAAAAUUAGAAACGAAUUGGGUGGAACAAGAAUUAAUUUGCGAAAAAAAUGUGCGCGCUUUUUUGGGAAAAUAGAUGAAAAGGUUCUGCCGAUUAUUGUAAUUAAUCACAUUUGUGUAUAUUUAACUACCAUCGCACUUGCAGCCACUAAAUUUUGAAAUAUAACUUAUUUCGGUUCUGGAUCACCUAUUAAAAAAAAAAAAA